UAAGUUGGGAGCUAUGAGGUAUGUAUGUAUGUAUGUAUGUAUGUAUAUUUCUUCUUGGAUUUUACUUUUACAUACAUAUUGACCCCCUUAAGGAAUUUUUUAAAAUUCAAAGUGCCUGUUCAUCAGCUUAUGGAUAGAUAAACAGAACUGACUAGCUUUGUCAGAUGCCAGUGUAGCUGACUAUGGGCCAUAUGCAAUUGCGGUCAAAUUCAUGAAAAUGUUGAAAAACGGGGCAUUUUAGACAACAAAAACCUGUCGAAUUGGAUUCGACAAUGCAAUACAGUACUUUUCGUCAAAAUACCUGCCGUUUUAGAUUCGACUUUUUGCAAUUCGACAUUUUCAAAAUUCGACAUUUCUGCAAUGGUCAAAAUGCAGCAUUUCGACAAAAGUAUAUUCAAUUGAAGAAUGUCGAUUCGACAACAGUGUUUUACGACAGUAAUUUCGUCAAUUUCAUUCCGCCUCACUUUGCUGGUUAAAAAUUUUUAAAACAUGUUUUUUUUUUUUUGCUUUUUGGAUUGCUAAUAGCAUAUCUAUUUAUAUUUGAAGGGAUUAUCUACUUGGUUUGUAUUUUUUUGACUCUCAAGUAUUAUUUAAUUGAUUUUUAAAAAGAAUAUUUUUUUUCUUCACUCUGCUGAGGGAAAUGUACCCAUGAUUUCACAGUUUUACCCAGGAUACACUUCUGCAAAGCCACUCCAGUAUUGGACCAGCUUACCCCACUCUACCAUGGACGUCCUACUUGUGAUGUGGACCUGAACCACCACCAUGUUAGUCACUCUUUCAGGUCUUGCGGAGUAUCCUUCCCAAGUUGCAGGAACCAGCGUGGAUGUCAAGGGACACGACCGUUCCCCUGCUGUACCAUGGGCGACCUAGUUGUGAUGUGGACCUGAAACUCCGCCAUGUAGCAGACACCCCCCCUCAGGUCUUGCGGAGUAUCCUUCCCGAUUUGCAGGAACCAGCCUGGAUGUGAAGGGACAGGACAGUUCCCCUGCUGUACCAUGGGCGACCUACUUGUGAUGUGGACCUGAACCUCCGCCAUGUAGCAGACCCCCCACC